UGUGAUGCAGCAUGCCGCGGUGUAUGGAGAAGACCUUCGGGUUUGUAAGUUACUUUCAGCGGGGAGAAAGGUGUUUGUGGUUAAUAACCACAGCAAUUGACGUUACCCGCAGAAGAAGCACCGGCUACUCCCGUGCCAGCAGCCGCGGUAAUACGGAGGCUGCAAGCGUUAAUCGGAAUUACUGGGCGUAAAGCGCACGCAGGCGGUCUGUCAAGUCGGAUGUGAAAUCCCCGGGCUCAAACCUGGGAACUGCAUUCGAAAACUGGCAGGCUAGAGUCUUGUAGAGGGGGGUAGAAUUCCAGGUGUAGCGGUGAAAUGCGUAGAGAUCUGGAGGAAAUACCGGUGGCGAAGGCGGCCCCCUGGACAAAGACUGACGCUCAGGUGCGAAAGCGUGGGGAGCAAACAGGAUUAGAUACCCUGGUAGUCCACGCCGUAAACGAUGUCGACUUGGAGGUUGUGCCCUUGAGGCGUGGCUUCCGGAGCUAACGCGUUAAGUCGACCGCCUGGGGAGUACGGCCGCAAGGUUAAAACUCAAAUGAAUUGACGGGGGCCCGCACAAGCGGUGGAGCAUGUGGUUUAAUUCGAUGCAACGCGAAGAACCUUACCUACUCUUGACAUCCAGAGAACUUUCCAGAGAUGGAUUGGUGCCUUCGGGAACUCUGAGACAGGUGCUGCAUGGCUGUCGUCAGCUCGUGUUGUGAAAUGUUGGGUUAAGUCCCGCAACGAGCGCAACCCUUAUCCUUUGUUGCCAGCGGUUAGGCCGGGAACUCAAAGGAGACUGCCAGUGAUAAACUGGAGGAAGGUGGGGAUGACGUCAAGUCAUCAUGGCCCUUACGAGUAGGGCUACACACGUGCUACAAUGGCGCAUACAAAGAGAAGCGACCUCGCGAGAGCAAGCGGACCUCAUAAAGUGCGUCGUAGUCCGGAUUGGAGUCUGCAACUCGACUCCAUGAAGUCGGAAUCGCUAGUAAUCGUAGAUCAGAAUGCUACGGUGAAUACGUUCCCGGGCCUUGUACACACCGCCCGUCACACCAUGGGAGUGGGUUGCAAAAGAAGUAGGUAGCUUUAACCUUCGGGAGGGGCCACUUCCCAAAAUUAUAUGGGCUUUUG
rnacentral:rRNA from 1 species